GUCUACGGGCCAUGCCACCCUGAACAAGCCCAAUUCUAUCUGAUCCUGGAAACUAAGCAGGGUUGGGUCUGCUUAGUACUUAGAUGGGAGACCACCUAGAAGGCCCAGAUGCUGUAGUGU
rnacentral:rRNA from 1 species